rnacentral:rRNA from 1 species
UUCUUUUUGAAUUUAUAAUAAGUAACCCCUGCUCCAUGAGUUUAAUUAAAUAGCUGCGGGUUUCCCGUACUAAGGUAGCAUAAUCAAUUGUGGCAUUAAUUGUGGGCUAGAAUGAAUGGGGAAAUUGUUAAUAACUUUAUUCUAAUUUUUUUUUAAAAUUUGAUUUAUAGUAAAAAUACUAUAAUAAUACUUAGGGACAANAAGACCCUAUAAAGCUUUAAUUUUCUUAAAAUUUUUAUAUUUUUAUUUGAAAAUAUUAAUUGGGGCAAUUUUUUAUUNUAAUAUAAAAUUAAUAGAUAAUAAUUAAUUAAAUUAAGAUCCAUUAUUAAUGAAAUAGGAGAAGUUACUUUAGGGAUAACAGCAUAAUUUUUGUCAAGAAGAGCUUAUUUAUGAUAUUGAUUAUGACCUCGAUGUUGGAUUAAUUAAAUUGUAUGGAGAAGAAUCUAUACUAGUAUGACUGUUCGUCAUUUAAUGGAUUACA